rnacentral:rRNA from 1 species
AUUGAACGCUGGCGGCAGGCCUAACACAUGCAAGUCGAGCGGUAGCACAGAGAGCUUGCUCUCGGGUGACGAGCGGCGGACGGGUGAGUAAUGUCUGGGAAACUGCCCGAUGGAGGGGGAUAACUACUGGAAACGGUAGCUAAUACCGCAUAACGUCGCAAGACCAAAGAGGGGGACCUUCGGGCCUCUUGCCAUCGGAUGUGCCCAGAUGGGAUUAGCUAGUAGGUGGGGUAACGGCUCACCUAGGCGACGAUCCCUAGCUGGUCUGAGAGGAUGACCAGCCACACUGGAACUGAGACACGGUCCAGACUCCUACGGGAGGCAGCAGUGGGGAAUAUUGCACAAUGGGCGCAAGCCUGAUGCAGCCAUGCCGCGUGUGUGAAGAAGGCCUUCGGGUUGUAAAGUACUUUCAGCGGGGAGGAAGGCGAUAAGGUUAAUAACCUUGUCGAUUGACGUUACCCGCAGAAGAAGCACCGGCUAACUCCGUGCCAGCCGCCGCUGUAA